rnacentral:precursor_RNA from 17 species
UGGUUGGAGAUGGAAUGGUGCCCUUUGGGAUGAGGUAGUAGGUUGUAUAGUUUUAGGGUCAUACCCGAUCUCGGAGUUAACUAUACAAUCUACUGUCUUUCCUACGGUGGCAAACUGGCCUGCCAAAACUC